AACGGAGCGACAGAACCUGGAAGAUUUUGAUUUCGAGAAUCGAUAAAUGUCUCGAUAUCGAAAACUACCACCAACAUAAUUUUGUACAAGAAUCCUUUUCCUACUCGAUCGCCGAAAACAAUUCAUCCCCUUUCCUUGGCCCUAAGAUUGGAUUUAGUGAUCACCCAGUAACCACAGCUUCAAUAACCGCCUUCCUCCUUCCACUCGACACACGACACAACACAACUACGCAGGCGUGUCAGUCUUCCGUCUUGACCGUGGCAUGCUGCGGUUAAAAUUGAGUGACAACUUUGUUAUUAAAACGGUGUCCGAGCAGCAGAUUAAAACAGGCUGCCAAGCCAUUUUGCCCGCCGCACACACAAGAAAACAAGAUCCCUUAGUGUUUCCCGCGUGUUCGCGACAGUUUUCACGCUUUAUUAAAACAUUAUCUGGAUUUUCCAACCAGGGCCAGACAUGUUUUGAUUGAAAUGUCAACAUGUUGGAAGCAGGAAAACAAGACGUUUGUUUCAACAGCAUAAAUACACGAAGGGAGUAAAAGUUCGGAACACGUUUGCAGCGCACAUUUCACAUUGGAAAACAACUAUGAACCUAUGUUUAUUCACACCCAGGCCUGCCAGCCAGCCAGCCAGCCAGCAAACCUGCCAUCCCAUCAUGCCAAUGGUGCUCGAACAUCAGUCUUACAAACAACAAUCCCAUGUCUCCAUGUGCUGUACCCGCAGUGCAACUUGCUUCUGUUUCCAUUCACAACUGCAUGCCUGCGCAUCGCAAUGCUUUGCACUUGCGUCACGGCGAAUUCUAGUUCAACAGUCUGCAGCAGCUCUCCCAUCCAUCGUCAUCAUUACCGUGGACGACUCUAGGCGACGUUCCCGACGCCUCGAGGCCCAACCACGACGAACAAGUUUCCACAAAUGCCCAAUCAUUUUACACCGCGAAGGCAGAGCACUAAAAUACCAAUCAAUUAAAACCACCUUUUCGUCACCUUGCUAGUCUUGGUCGAUGGUCGGCCGGAGCGAGAGAGGACAGCAUGGAAGGCUCCACUGCAACCAGACGCAUUGGAUAGGCCUAGGGUACUGGAACAUGCGCUCGAACGUCUCGAGGUGUGAUGGCUACACGGCUCGUUCGUCACGGUUUCCGUGCAUUCGGAGGCUUCUUAAUGCGUGCCCCAUCGAAACGCUGGCCCUGCUGCAAGGCGCAACCUCACCGGAGGGUAGGAACCGGGAGAGGGAGGCGGUCGGCGGUGUCGACAAGAAAGCGAUUAGCUUCCCAUUCGCCAUUCCGGUUUUCCGCAGGGCCGAGUCUGGAAAGAUCGCAUACUGGAUGCCGGCCAUGGAAGCCCACGAUGAAUCACGGUAAGCACAAACGACAACGGAAACAUUCGUUCUCUUGCCACCAUGCCGAAGUACACUAUCCGUAUCCGGAACGGAUGGGCAGGAAAUUGAAAUUGAAGCAAAAGCCCCCCACUCGCCCAACGUCUCCGGCAGCAUAAGCAGACGGAAUGAGAUCAUUUGCGCAGAGGACCAGGCCGACACUUAUUGGUAGGCACCCCGUUUCGCGAUAUCACAUCUCCGAGUCCUGACCAAGCUCAUCAAACUCUGCUGCCAUCAGUGGAAACCGUGACCGAUGGUUUAACAUGUUGUACCAUCGGCUUUUCCAGCCGUGCCAACCAUUGAGCGAUCAUCAGUAAAAGAUCACUGCACCAAAGGGAGACUCCAACAACCCUUUGCCGGGAACAGGUCCAUCUCAACGCUAAAUAAAGUAGCACUUGCGUCGAGGUGCAAACAUGCAGAAUUAAAACGGGAACUGACAGCACAACACCACUCGAAGUGAUUCUUCACCAAUGUGUUCGGUUUCCCGCGAUACCGAGAUAGCAGCUCUCGUGAGGCACACAAUGUUUCAUAUGCCGUCUGAGCUGAUUUUCCGUGCCCAAGAUUAAUUAAUUUCCUUCUCUUUUAUACGAUACGAACAAUUACCGCACUAGCUUAAUGAGCAGAUAUGUUGCACUGGUAGAUGUACAUGGUAAUACCUACGACGAACUUAGGUCCUCGAACGAUUGCACCAAACAGUCGUCCAACGAUCACCCUCGAUCGUGGGCUAAACAGCGAGAGAACAAAAUUCCAAGUAAAUUUAGUUACGGUCGAAACAGAAGAGGGUGAGCAUCAUAUUGUUUAGGCAAUACUAAAUCAAAAUCUGUCAAUCAGUGUCAGACCGUGUUGGGCAUCGGACCAUCGGAUCGCUCACCCUCGCCACAAAGAGCAUCCCACCUCCUUACCGUCGGCGCAGGGCACGAGGACGAUCCCGCUAAAGGAAGAACGACCACCCAAAGAUGGAUGCAAACGGACGCGAUCCGUCGAACCGAAAUCAUCAAUUCCGUGAUCCGCGAACGGAAAUGGCAUCACGCACAGGUCCCCCUCUUCUCCAGUCCUGAGUCGCACCACAAUGCUCUGCUGAGAUAUUCAUGCAAGUGUCAGUGAUCCUGUUUUAUUCUCUGGUUUGGUCGGUCCUAAUGAACUCGCGAGCAUCAGUUUUGGAGAAUGAUGCACAAAACAAAACCAUCCAUCUACAGCGCGCCCCCAAUAAGGUUCGCAUCAAAACGGAUGAAUAAUUUCCAUUUUGGAGCGCGAGUUCUUCUGCACACGCCAGCGAAGCUAUUUGAGUCCUGUCAGGAGACUCGACGGAACAACAUUCACACUAUUGUAUUUUGAAAGUAAUGCAGUUUUGUCUUUUGGCUUGUGUUAAUCAUCGCAUCGAAAGUACCAGUUUCUCAAACAUUCAGCGCUCGUCAUAUUCCCCCUUGCAAAACUGAACACCGAACUGAAUUAUCUGGUGGCUUUAAGUGUUGAUCCGUGGUUUAAUUUCAAACUAAAUACUUCCUAAAAGCCUCAACUAUCAAAAUACCACACCCACGGGUGACAACACACACUUCACUCAUGGUAAUAAACUUGUCCAUUAGCAUACCAUCGGAAGUAGGAAAUAACUUGAGUCCCUCGCCCCUAUGAACGAUAGGCACGUGGUGGUGGUGUAUGCGAGCAACCCAGCAGGACGUCGCACACCCAAGUGCUUUGACCGGAGAACAAUUCAUCCCACCCGAAUGUUUCGUCCUGCAUCAAGCGAACGAGACAAGAAAACUCUUUCGAUGGCGGUAUCAGCAGUACAAGAAGUUUUGCUGUACCGAAAGGAAGUUUGAAGACUGUCCAAUUGUCUCGCUCGGGUCUGUGCAAGCCUGCAACUGCAUCUCGGCUAUUAUACGGCGCCCAUUUCGAAUGACUUUGGCUUUCGGCACGGCUUCCGGUUUUGCGGAGUUCCGUGCAUGGCGGCUAAGAAACGAACGGUGCUCACUUUUCAUGUAUGACAAAUGGUGUCUAAUCCCAAAACUGUGUGCUAUUGUAAAACAGGGGCUAUGCACUGGGCGUUUGAGUGUGUGGUCAACGGCAUUAUCGCUGCUCCUGAUAUACGGACUGUUCUGCAGACGAUGGGUUGUCAAAAGUUUUGCAUACGACCGUUACCAUGGGCCGAAAGUGGACCUAACAAGUAUUUUCGAAGCGUCUCGUGAACUUCGUUAUUUAGCGCUUUUCAAGUUUCUAAUAGGUGGUUCCCACUCAACCUUCAUUUUAAGCUAGUUAAGACGCAUAGACAAACAGACAGACACACACAUACACACACACACACGCGCAUACGAAUGAGCUCUUCUCGUUCUAGUGACUUGAAGGAAACAUAAUUUAUCCCAAAAACGGGUCAAAUUAAUGUUGGAAAGAACGAACGAAAUCUAU